rnacentral:lncRNA from 1 species
GCUUAGUAGCUGAGCAGGUUUGAAUGGUACUUGUGUGCUGUGCUCUCUGUCAUGCCGCUGGAUGCUGUGGAGGGUGCUCAGGCAAGCCCCGAAGUUGUGACAUGGAUGCCUUGACCUAUGAUGAUGUGCAUGUGAACUUUACUCAAGAAGAAUGGGCUUUGCUGAAUCCUACACAGAGGAAUCUCUACAAAGAUGUGAUGUUGGAGAUCUACAGGAACCUCAAAGCUGUAGGCUACAAUUGGGAAGACCAAAACACUGAAGAACAUUGUCAAAGUUCCAGAAGACAUGGAAGGUAAUUUUCAUGAGCAAAUUGGUAUGAAUUUGCCUCCGAAGAAAUGUUAAUGUGGCCUGGAACCUUUUUUAAAUUUUUUUUAUUUUUUGGUGGCCUGGAACUUUUCAUGAAAAACAACAGUGUAAAAAAAGAAAAAAAGGCAUUUCUUUAAGUGUAUUGUUUAAAUUCUCACAAAUCUAUGUACCUCAAUGUCAGGUGUUUGAUUUGUGUUUUCAAGGCAUUUCUCUAAAAGAAAAGACAAGGAAACAAUGCUUUAACUGAUAUUGCCAUUUGAAUCAUAGCCACAUUACAUCUACUCUGUAGAACUGCCAAUCUAGUCUCAUACCACUCACAUAUUGCCAAAGAUAUAUAUUAGGUGAUAAGUAUAUGUUUCUAAUAAGCAAAUAUCCCAUAGUAAAACUGAUUACUCUUAUAGUAACAUUGCUAAGUUUAAGUGAGAGGGGCAGUUUAUGAGAGUCAAGAAUGUUUUUGAGGAGAAACCUUAGUUCCUAUACCAUAUAUCUAUGAUGAGCAAACAGCCAAACUGUGUGAAUGCAAUGUGGAAAUCUUUCAUUUGUUAUUCUUUUUGUUAAUAGGUAUAUCCUGUGUCACAAUGGAUACAAGCCAUUUGAGCAUAGGGAAAUUGAAAGAAGCAGAACCUUCUCUCUCUCCCAGAACAAUUAAAAUAUAUGUAGUAGUCCACAUUUGAGCAAACUUUCUCACUGUGAUACAAGUUUAUAAUUAGUUGGUUUUCCAACUUCAGUGGGAAUAUAUCUAUAAACUCACACUGCAGAAAAUCCCUAUCAGUACAGGAUUGUGGAAAUUCUUUUAUGUUUGUCCUGGUUUAUUUUGUCAAUGUAGUAUGAAAAUGUAGUAUAUUUCACAAUAUAGGAAAAUUUAUGAAUGUACUCAGUGUGGUAAAGCUCUGAACUCUUCUAUUUCUCUUGAAAUAUGUGAAAAAUGUCAUAGAGAAAAAGGAUGUGAAAAAUC